rnacentral:misc_RNA from 1 species
UCUCCGUUGGUGAACCAGCGGAGGGAUCAUUACCGAGUUUACAACUCCCAAACCCCUGUGAACAUACCUUACUGUUGCCUCGGCGCAUGCCGGCCCCCCCGGGGGCCCCUCGGAGACGAGGAGCAGGCACGCCGGCGGCCAAGUUAACUCUUGUUUUUACACUGAAACUCUGAGAAAAAACACAAAUGAAUCAAAACUUUCAACAACGGAUCUCUUGGUUCUGGCAUCGAUGAAGAACGCAGC